rnacentral:lncRNA from 1 species
GGGAAUCGUGAUUAUUGGUUCGUUCAACUAGCAAAAGAAACUGAUUGCUGGUUUUAUUUCUGUUGUAUACCUCUCAGUGCAUAAGGUUCUGUGUACUUCUUUCGUGUUUAAGAAUAGUAUAAUAUAUGAGAAUGACGUUAAUCUUGGCAUUUCUUCAGAUUACUCUGAAUAUGUAGAUGUCUAGACAUUAACAUACUUGUCUACAUGCAUUCCGGUGUGGUUCAUUGGAUCAAAUAUGAAUCUAAUUCUUAGCCCUCCCCCCCUUUUCUUGGGACCAGCUAAGUUUUUGGGUUUGUGUGUGAAGGUUACUGCCUGUUUUUUGUUUUCUUGUUACCACUUGUUCUUAGAGCUUUUACUUUUGUUUGAAACUUUGAAU